UACGAAGGGGGCUAGCGUUGCUCGGAAUUACUGGGCGUAAAGCGCACGUAGGCGGCUUCUUAAGUCGGUGGUGAAAUCCUGGAGCUCAACUCCAGAACUGCCUUCGAUACUGGGAAGCUCGAGUCCGGGAGAGGUGAGUGGAACUGCGAGUGUAGAGGUGAAAUUCGUAGAUAUUCGCAAGAACACCAGUGGCGAAGGCGGCUCACUGGGCCGAUACUGACGCUGAGGAGCGAAAGCGUGGGGAGCGAACAGG
rnacentral:rRNA from 1 species